rnacentral:rRNA from 1 species
UACGUAGGGUGCAAGCGUUAAUCGGAAUUACUGGGCGUAAAGCGUGCGCAGGCGGUUAUGCAAGACGGAUGUGAAAUCCCCGGGCUUAACCUGGGAACUGCAUUUGUGACUGCAUCGCUGGAGUGCGGCAGAGGGGGAUGGAAUUCCGCGUGUAGCAGUGAAAUGCGUAGAUAUGCGGAGGAACACCGAUGGCGAAGGCAAUCCCCUGGGCCUGCACUGACGCUCAUGCACGAAAGCGUGGGGAGCAAACAGG